AACGAACGCUGGCGGCAGGCUUAACACAUGCAAGUCGAACGCCCCGCAAGGGCAGUGGCAGACGGGUGAGUAACGCGUGGGAACAUACCCUUUUCUACGGAAUAGCUCUGGGAAACUGGAAUUAAUACCGUAUACGCCCUACGGGGGAAAGAUUUAUCGGGGUAGGAUUGGCCCGCGUUGGAUUAGCUAGUUGGUGGGGUAAAGGCCUACCAAGGCGACGAUCCAUAGCUGGUCUGAGAGGAUGAUCAGCCACAUUGGGACUGAGACACGGCCCAAACUCCUACGGGAGGCAGCAGUGGGGAAUAUUGGACAAUGGGCGCAAGCCUGAUCCAGCCAUGCCGCGUGAGUGAUGAAGGCCUUAGGGUUGUAAAGCUCUUUCACCGAUGAAGAUAAUGACGGUAGUCGGAGAAGAAGCCCCGGCUAACUUCGUGCCAGCCGCCGCGGUAAGAC
rnacentral:rRNA from 1 species